rnacentral:rRNA from 1 species
GAUGAACGCUGGCGGCGUGCCUAAUACAUGCAAGUCGAGCGAACGGACGAGAAGCUUGCUUCUCUGAUGUUAGCGGCGGACGGGUGAGUAACACGUGGAUAACCUACCUAUAAGACUGGGAUAACUUCGGGAAACCGGAGCUAAUACCGGAUAAUAUUUUGAACCGCAUGGUUCAAAAGUGAAAGACGGUCUUGCUGUCACUUAUAGAUGGAUCCGCGCUGCAUUAGCUAGUUGGUAAGGUAACGGCUUACCAAGGCAACGAUGCAUAGCCGACCUGAGAGGGUGAUAGGCCACACUGGAACGGAGACACGGUCCAGACUCCUACGGGAGGCAGCAGUAGGGAAUCUUCCGCAAUGGGCGAAAGCCUGACGGAGCAACGCCGCGUGAGUGAUGAAGGUCUUCGGAUCGUAAAACUCUGUUAUUAGGGAAGAACAUAUGUGUAAGUAAAUGUGCACAUCUUGACGGUACCUAAUAAGAAAGCCACGGCUAACUACGUG